rnacentral:rRNA from 1 species
ACAUCCAGAGAACUUAGCAGAGAUGCUUUGGUGCCUUCGGGAACUCUGAGACAGGUGCUGCAUGGCUGUCGUCAGCUCGUGUUGUGAAAUGUUGGGUUAAGUCCCGNAACGAGCGCAACCCUUAUCCUUUGUUGCCAGCGGUUCGGCCGGGAACUCAAAGGAGACUGCCGGUGAUAAACCGGAGGAAGGUGGGGAUGACGUCAAGUCAUCAUGGCCCUUACGGCCAGGGCUACACACGUGCUACAAUGGCGCAUACAAAGAGAAGCGACCUCGCGAGAGCAAGCGGACCUCAUAAAGUGCGUCGUAGUCCGGAUUGGAGUCUGCAACUCGACUCCAUGAAGUCGGAAUCGCUAGUAAUCGUAGAUCAGAAUGCUACGGUGAAUAUGUUCCCGGGCCUUGUACACACCGCCCGUCACACCAUGGGAGUGGGUUGCAAAAGAAGUAGGUAGCUUAACCUUCGGGAGGGCGCUUACCACUUUGUGAUUCAUGACUGGGGUGAAGUCGUAACAAGGUAAGCGUACGUGU